GGUGAGAUGGCCGAGUGGUUAUGGCGCUGCGUUCAGGUAAACCUUGAACCUGAUGUCGAUUCGAUGUCACGAAGAAAUUUCGCAGUGGAGCAAUCCGCGUGGGUUCGAGUCCCACUCUCAUCA